CAUUUCCGCUAGGGGUGCUUAUGUUUUUAAGCUGAGAGAAGGUGAUAGCCUUCGACCCUUUGAACCUGAUCCGGUUAAUACUGGCGUAGGGAAGCGGCGUGGUCCAUUA
rnacentral:ncRNA from 2 species